rnacentral:rRNA from 1 species
AGAAUGAACGCUGGCGGCGCGCCUAAUACACGCAAGUCGAGCGAGAAGACGUAGCAAUACGUUUGUAAAGCGGCGAACGGGUGAGGAAUACAUGGGUAACCUACCCUCGAGUGGGGAAUAACUAGCCGAAAGGUUAGCUAAUACCGCGUACGCUCCUUGGACUUCGGUUCAGGGAGGAAAGCGAUACCGUGGGUAUCGCGCUCUUGGAUGGGCUCAUGUCCUAUCAGCUUGUUGGUGAGGUAACGGCUCACCAAGGCUUCGACGGGUAGCUGGUCUGAGAGGACGAUCAGCCACACUGGCACUGCGACACGGGCCAGACUCCUACGGGAGGCAGCAGUAAGGAAUAUUGCGCAAUGGGCGAAAGCCUGACGCAGCGACGCCGCGUGGGGGAUGAAGGUCUUCGGAUUGUAAACCCCUUUCGGAGGAAGAUGGAACGAGCAAUCGUUCGGACGGUACCUCCAGAAGCAGCCACGCUAACUUCGUGCCAGCAGCCGCGGUAAUCUA